rnacentral:snRNA from 1 species
GUGCUUGCUUCAGCAACACAUAUACUAAAAUUGGAAAAUGCAAAGAAGAUUAGCAUGGCUCCUGUGCAAGGAUGACAUGCAAAUAUAAAUGUACCAUAUUUUU